UGAUGUUUGGCUGCCGCUCCUGGCCGUCCCAGUUCUGCACCAGUGCCCUGUGCUAUCAGGCCCUGCUGGCAGGCUACACCCAGGAACACCACUGGGGAAACUGCUCCUGAUGAAUCCCCUACAGGAGGAGCAGGUUGAUGACAUCUCACUGUUUCUCUUUCUGCAUUUCUUCCAUUAUCAAAGCAGCAAAAACUCUGUGAGGCCACAUAACUAAACCUUUCCACCUGUGCAACCUCACAGGAAUAUGCAUUGUGAUGGAUCUCCCAAGUUUCUUCUUCCUGCAGCAUUUUGAAAAAGAAGUUGCACAGGCAAAAAGAAAAAAGCAAACAACCCAACAAACCCAAUGGAUGCCAGGAGAAAAGGAACAGUCAUUUGCCAGGUUGACCCACAGAAUCCUCAAAUUCCUGAGAAUUCCCCGUCAACACGUUGUGAAAAGUAACAUCCAGCUGAGCAGCAGAACACCACUCCAUGGGAUAACUGCUGAGAAUAUCUGGAGAGGGCGAGCCUAUGAAUAAUUUGAGUGAUUAAAGCUCAAAUCAGGUGUGAAAAUGAAAGAUCAGGAAAACAUGGAAGAGAAACCACACUCCCAAGGAGAUACUCAGCUUUCCUUCUGGAAUCAGAAAAGGCUCCCUCCAUUCCCUACUGCCACAAAAUACAGGUGAGCUCAUAAGUGGUUUUUUUUUUUUUCUCCCAAAGAGUUGUCACUUUUAAAGGCACAUUGAAAUCUUAUUUUUACUUUUUAGGUCUCCCUUCUUCCAUCGGAGAUGACCUAAAUUUUGAGCUGAAGCACUCACAGCAUCCUCGCUUGGAAGAGAAAACAAGAGCAAAAAAAACAUCAGGCUGCGAAAAGAGGCAAAAUAAUAGGAGGGAAAAUUACAGUGAAGACCUCCCUGAAUAACUGGAGGUCACAAACGCUGCAGAAAUAGAUGCUGAAGUGGUGCUACCCAGAGCCAGUGGACACAAAGUGGUUGAAUUUACAGAAUCCUGUCAGAGGGACAGGUGGGCAGGAUGUGAAUCGAAGCAGUUCUGGGAAUACCCAAGAGCUCUCAAAAUUUCCCUUCAGAUAGAUCACUGUAUUCUUGGUGCAAAAAAUGUCACAAAAAAAAAACCCCAACCAAAACAAACCAACCAAAACUUGAAAGCUUACAAGGAGUUGUUCAAAUGGAAUUAAACAGCUAUAGAAAGGGGUAGAGGGAAUAUUUUAUAUGCAAUGAAGAAAAAUGUAUGGAAACACAUAUACAACCAGGUAACCAGCAGUGGAGACAACUGAACAUUCACCCACCUCAUUAUUAACAAAAAAACUCCCCAAAUGUACUUGCAGAACCAUUUAUUUUGCUUUAUUUUAUCAUCUUAAACAGCCAACAGAAACUAAGAUUAUAAUCUGUGCCUUUUUAAAAUUCCAUUCAACAGAUGUUCAUAAGCAGACUUGAGCCAAAUUUCAGCUCCCCAAAAGGAUAUUCAGCCCGAGAACUUUUACAAAUGGAUGAUAAAGUCCCGCUUUUCCCCUUGUAAUCAUUGCUUUUCUGGGACAUCAAAUCCUCUCUUAGCCUCAUUACAAGUUCCCACCAGCAUAAAAUGUAUUUUUCAUUUCCAUUUCCUAUAGUAUUGUUUUCCAAAAAUGGCAUUUUCCAGCACAAGACAACUCUCCCUCACUCCUUUUUUAUGUCAUCUCCUCAAUACGAAAGGAUCAUCUUAGUGACAAGGCUCUGUUCUUUUAAAAAGAUGAAAAAAAACCCCUCAACUGGUAUUAAUAAAUAUUUACUUAAUGUAAAGAAAAGGGAAUUC
ensembl:lncRNA